rnacentral:lncRNA from 1 species
AAUAAUAUGCAUUUUGUAAAACAGGCCAAUAGGUUGUGUUUGAAAAACUAGGUAUUAAGUAUGCAUCAAAAGGGUGAGAUUGGACUUGCCGUCUUCAAAGCCUUCCGGGAGUUCCGGCUCGCGGUACUGGUCCUCGGGCUCGGGCUCGCGGUCAAACUCUUCCUCGGGCUCCUCCUCGGGCAAUCCGCGAUCUACGGCACACACAAACAGGCAC